GCCCUCAUAACUCAAUGGUAGAGUAGCUGCCUUUUAAGCAGCCUAUCUGGGUUCGAUUCCCAGUGAGGGCA
rnacentral:tRNA from 1 species